GUGAGCAGGAAAGGUGUGUGAAGAAGGGAGAAUAUGUGUGAGCAGGAAAGGUGUGUGAAGAAGGGAGAAUAUGUGUGAGCAGGAAAAGUGUGUGAAGACAGAAGAGUGUGUGAGAGGAGGAAGAGAGUGUGUGAAGGCAGGAGAGAGAGUGUGAGGGGGGGAAAGGUGUGUGAAGAAGGGAGAAUAUGUGUGAGCAGGAAAAGUGUGUGAAGACAGAAGAGUGUGUGAGAGGAGGAAGAGAGUGUGUGAAGGCAGGAGAGAGAGUGUGAGAGGGGGGGAAAGGUGUGUGAAGAAGGGAGAAUAUGUGUGAGCAGGAAAGGUGUGUGAAGAAGGGAGAAUAUGUGUGAGCAGGAAAAGUGUGUGAAGAAGGGAGAAUAUGUGU